rnacentral:misc_RNA from 1 species
AACGAGGCCGACCUGCGGCUGAGUUACCUGCGGAGGGAUCAUUACCGAGUUUACAACUCCCAAACCCCUGUGAACAUACCACUUGUUGCCUCGGCGGAUCAGCCCGCUCCCGGUAAAACGGGACGGCCCGCCAGAGGACCCCUAAACUCUGUUUCUAUAUGUAACUUCUGAGUAAAACCAUAAAUAAAUCAAAACUUUCAGCAAUGGAUCU